AGAUUGAACGCUGGCGGCAUGCCUUACACAUGCAAGUCGAACGGUAGAGUAGCAAUACUUGAGAGUGGCGAACGGGUGAGUAAUAUAUCGGAACGUGCCCAGUCGUGGGGGAUAACGUAGAGAAAUUUACGCUAAUACCGCAUACGAUCUAAGGAUGAAAGCGGGGGACUCGCAAGAGCCUCGCGCGAUUGGAGCGGCUGAUAUCAGAUUAGGUUGUUGGUGAGGUAAAAGCUCACCAAGCCGACGAUCUGUAGCUGGUUUGAGAGAACGACCAGCCACACUGGGACUGAGACACCGGCCCAGACCUCCGUACGGGAGGCAGCAGGUGGGUAAUUUUGGACAAGUGGGACGAAAGCCUAGACUCCAGACAAGUCGCCGCGUGGACC
rnacentral:rRNA from 1 species